rnacentral:rRNA from 1 species
AUUGAACGCUGGCGGACGGCCUAAAACAUGCAAGUCGAACGAGUGGCGGACGGGUGAGUAAUGUCUGGGAAACUGCCUGAUGGAGGGGGAUCACUACUGGAAACGGUAGCUGAUACCGCAUACCAUCGGAUGUUCCCAGAUGGGUAUAGCUUGUUGGUGGGGUAACGGCUCACCAAGGCGACGAUCCCUAGCUGGUCUGAGAGGAUGACCAGCCACACUGGAACUGAGACACGGUCCAGACUCCUACGGGAGGAAGCAGUGGGGAAUAUUGCACAAUGGGCGCAAGCCUGAUGCAGCCAUGCCGCGUGUAUGAAGAAGGCCUUCGGGUUGUAAAGUACUUUCAGCGGGGAGGCGUUACCCGCAGAAGAAGCACCGGCUAACUCCGUGCCAGCAGCCGCGGUAAUUC